rnacentral:tRNA from 1 species
GGGGGUGCAGCUCAGUGGUAGAGCACUUGUCUAGCAUGUGUAAAGCCAUGGGUUCAACCCCCAGGACCCCCA